UAGUGGUAUACAAAGGAUGGAUAGUGGUGUACAAUGUAGGGAAAGGGUGUACCAAGAAGGGAUAGUGGUGUAUAAAGGAGAGAUAGUGGUGUACAAUAUUUGGAAAGGGUGUACCAAGAAGGUAUAGUGGUGUACAAAGAAGGGAUAGUGGUGUACCAAGGAGGGAUAGUGGUGUACAAUGUAGGGAACGGGUGUACCAAGAAGGGAUAGUGGUGUACAAUAUAGGGAAAGGGUGUACCAAGGAGGGAUAGUGGGUGUACAAAGAAGGGAUAGUGGUGUACAAUGUAGGGAAAGGGUGUACCAAGAAGGGAUAGUGGUGUACCAAGGAGGGAUAGUGGUGUACAAAGAAGGGAUAGUGGUGUACAAAGAAGGGAUAGUGGUG